rnacentral:rRNA from 1 species
GACGAACGCUGGCGGCGUGCUUAACACAUGCAAGUCGAACGGAAAGGCCCUGCUUUUGUGGGGUGCUCGAGUGGCGAACGGGUGAGUAACACGUGAGUAACCUGCCCUUGACUUUGGGAUAACUUCAGGAAACUGGGGCUAAUACCGGAUAGGAGCUCCUGCUGCAUGGUGGGGGUUGGAAAGUUUCGGCGGUUGGGGAUGGACUCGCGGCUUAUCAGCUUGUUGGUGGGGUAGUGGCUUACCAAGGCUUUGACGGGUAGCCGGCCUGGGAGGGUGACCGGCCACAUUGGGCCUGCGAUACGGCCCAGACUCCUACGGGAGGCAGCAGUGGGGAAUAUUGCACAAUGGGCGGAAGCCUGAUGCAGCAACGCCGCGUGCGGGAUGACGGCCUUCGGGUUGUAAACCGCUUUCGCCUGUGACGAAGCGUGAGUGACGGUAAUGGGUAAAGAAGCACCGGCUAACUACGUG